AUGGAUUUACUGAGGCAUCACAACUUUCCAAGCCGAUUUCGCGACUGGAUUUCCGCUCUCCUUUCCACGGCCUCCUCCAGAGUCCUUCUCAACGGUGUUGCGGGCGACCCAAUCAUGCAUGGACGUGGUCUUCGUCAGGGGGAUCCUCUAUCCCCCCUUCUUUUCGUCCUAGCCAUUGACCCGCUCCAUCACAUCCUCGCAAAAGCUACCGAUCAAGGCAAUUUGCACCCCCUU
rnacentral:rRNA from 1 species